GCUCAGAACGAACGCUGGCGGCAGGCUUAACACAUGCAAGUCGAACGCCCCGCAAGGGGAGUGGCAGACGGGUGAGUAACGCGUGGGAACAUACCCUUUCCUGCGGAAUAGCUCCGGGAAACUGGAAUUAAUACCGCAUACGCCCUACGGGGGAAAGAUUUAUCGGGGAAGGAUUGGCCCGCGUUGGAUUAGCUAGUUGGUGGGGUAAAGGCCUACCAAGGCGACGAUCCAUAGCUGGUCUGAGAGGAUGAUCAGCCACAUUGGGACUGAGACACGGCCCAAACUCCUACGGGAGGCAGCAGUGGGGAAUAUUGGACAAUGGGCGCAAGCCUGAUCCAGCCAUGCCGCGUGAGUGAUGAAGGCCUUAGGGUUGUAAAGCUCUUUCACCGAUGAAGAUAAUGACGGUAGUCGGAGAAGAAGCCCCGGCUAACUUCGUGCCAGCAGCCGCGGUAAUACGAAGGGGGCUAGCGUUGUUCGGAAUUACUGGGCGUAAAGCGCACGUAGGCGGAUAUUUAAGUCAGGGGUGAAAUCCCGCAGCUCAACUGCGGAACUGCCUUUGAUACUGGGUAUCUUGAGUAUGGAAGAGGUAAGUGGAAUUCCGAGUGUAGAGGUGAAAUUCGUAGAUAUUCGGAGGAACACCAGUGGCGAAGGCGGCUUACUGGUCCAUUACUGACGCU
rnacentral:rRNA from 1 species